GGGCAGCGCAGUGUAGCAAUACAUGGGCGGCGACCGGCAAACGGGUGCGGAACACGUACACAACCUUCCUUUAAGCGGGGAAUAGCCCGGGGAAACCCGGAUUAAUACCCCAUAGUACGUCGGAGAGGCAUCUCUCUGAUUUUAAAGAUUUAUCACUUAAAGAUGGGUGUGCGGCUGAUUAGGUAGUUGGUGGGGUAACGGCCCACCAAGCCUACGAUCAGUAACUGGUGUGAGAGCACGACCAGUCACACGGGCACUGAGACACGGGCCCGACUCCUACGGGAGGCAGCAGUAAGGAAUAUUGGUCAAUGGACGAAAGUCUGAACCAGCCAUGCCGCGUGGAGGAUGAAGGUCCUCUGGAUUGUAAACUUCUUUUAUAUGGGACGAAAAAGGGACUUUCUAGUUCAACUGAUGGUACCAUAUGAAUAAGCACCGGCUAACUCCGUGCCAGCAGCCGCGGUAAUACGGAGGGUGCAAGCGUUAUCCGGAUUCACUGGGUUUAAAGGGUGCGUAGGUGGGCUGGUAAGUCAGUGGUGAAAUCUCCGAGCUUAACUUGGAAACUGCCAUUGAUACUAUCAGUCUUGAAUACCGUGGAGGUCAGCGGAAUAUGUCAUGUAGCGGUGAAAUGCUUAGAUAUGACAUAGAACACCAAUUGCGAAGGCAGCUGGCUACACGAAUAUUGACACUGAGGCACGAAAGCGUGGGGAUCAAACAGGAUUAGAUACCCUGGUAGUCCACGCCCUAAACUAUGGAUACUCGACAUACGCGAUACACUGUGUGUGUCUGAGCGAAAGCAUUAAGUAU
rnacentral:rRNA from 1 species